rnacentral:rRNA from 1 species
GGUAAACGCUGGCGGCGUGCCUAAAACAUGCAAGUCGAACGCGUACCUUCGGGUACGAGUGGCAGACGGCUGAGUAACGCGUGGGUGACGUACCUGUUGGUGGGGAAUAACUGCCCGAAAGGGUGGCUAAUUCCGCAUAAGUCCUUCGGUUCAAUCCGAAGGGGAAAGCUUCGCAAGAGGCGCCGAUGGAGCGGCCCGCGUCCGAUUAGCUGGUUGGUGGGGUAACGGCCUACCAAGGCGACGAUCGGUAGCUGGUCUUAGAGGAUGAUC